UCCGUAGGCGGUGUGGCAAGUCGGUAGUGAAAUCUCUCGGCUUAACUGAGAGGCUGCUGCCGAAACUGCCAUGCUCGAGUGCGAGAGAGGCGAGUGGAAUUGCGGGUGUAGCGGUGAAAUGCGUAGAUAUCCGCAGGAACAUCCGAGGCGAAAGCGGCUCGCUGGAUCGCAACUGACGCUGAGGGACGAAAGCUAGGGGAGCAAACAGGAUUAGAUACCCUGGUAGUCCGAGCCCUAAACCAUCAGGACUUGGGGUUUGCCCUGUACGGGGCAAGUCCCGGAGCUAACGCGUUAAGUCCUGCGCCUGGGGAGUACGGUCGCAAGGCUGAA
rnacentral:rRNA from 1 species